UAUGGUGGGCAUGAUUUCAUCCAGUCAAUGCCACAAUGCCACUGAUUUGCUGAGGCAGCGCGUCAUCAUAUCCCAGCGCCACUCUGAUUGGCCGAGGCAACACACCAAGGCAUUCGGCGCGAAUCACUUUGUUCACUCGAUCAGCUCUGCUCAGUUUGUCUUGCAACAAGCGGAAGAAACGCUCGGCCAGCCAGUCAUCGUGAAUGUGACAAUUACAACCUGACCAGUCAGGCAGAGGACGACGACGAUGAUGAGGUGCCAUUUAAAUUGACGAGGAACUGCAGAGGGCUUUGUAAGAAAUAGUAUGUUUCUCACUCUCAAGUAACAAGAUGUGCAUCAGUUUUGAGGUCAGUCAGAUGGAUGGUUUGAGAAUUAUGCAUGGAAAACACACACAGACACUCGCACACAGGCAGAUGGAUGACAUUUGUAAUCUGACACACUGGCCCUCAAAUUUUUGACUUAAAUGUGUAUAAACAUUUUUUUGCAGAAUUGACAGAUUCAGAUGAAGAGAACAUCACAGGUAAUGGUUUUCUAUAAUGACUUUAUAAUUUGUUUUAAGAUUAAUAACUUUUUUUUAAUAAGGUUAUUCCAUUUUUUUGGAGAUGCAUAUGCUUAUUUUCACUGUAUUACCUCUGUAUAGGUGUCAAGCUGCCCAAAUACCCCACUGCACCAAAAAAGCUGUGGUCCAUUCAAGGUACCAACUUGAAUCUCAAUGCAUGUGGGAAUAAUGACAACUUAUGAAGCAUGGCACUGUCUUCAUUCAUGUGUUUCAGCCUCUGAAGAUCAGCCAGGUCUGUGGAGCGUGCGGACAGUUCUCAGGGCAGCGAAAUGUCCGCUCCUUGUGAGUAUUUACUUCUCCCCUCGCAUCAACCAUCCCAUUGAACAAAGUAAAAAGUCCAUUCAAGAUGGUGAAUUUCUCACUGCUUCUGAAUUGAGCAUCAAGGGGAAGGGCUAAAAAGAGGGCUUAAGGGUAGAAAUGGGAUUCAGCCCCAGUGUCCAUCACAGCUAAAGGUCAUCUUUUUGUUUCCUUUCAAUAAUUUUGCACCUUUGAAUAUUCUUUGUCUUUUUCAGGCCCUCAAACUGCAAGCACAGCACCUCGGUGUGGAGAUCUGUCGACACCUAGUGAGAAUUCAUCUCAUCUCGCUUUAAACAGUCACUUUUUUAUUUUAUCAUCUUUGUGUAAGAACAUUCUUUGUGGUUUUUCAGGAUCUCGACAUGCAGCAGGAGGUUGUCCCAUGGGUGGCUAUCGCUCUUGGUAAAGAAACAGGAUAAGGCACAGCAUUGGCUGGCUUCUACUGGUUGGACUCCAGCACAUAUUGUUCACCAACCAGUAGGUGUUAGUCUGUUUUCGUGUUAUGGCCAAGUGAUUUAAAAUAAAUUUAAAUGGUACUGGGUCCAGAGGUAGGUCCAGCAGAGGAUCCAGACACAGGUCCAGGUCACGGCACGGUGGUUCGAGGCACACGGACAGGCGUGACGGGUCACACCGUACUGAUGCCUACAGAUGUGAUGAAAGAUCCUGGCACAGUGAACCUUAUCUUAUGACGGGCCAAGGCAUGGUGAGUUGUCCAAAGGCUGCAAUUUCAUCAAAACACUUUGCAAUUCAGUUAGUCGUACUGAUGAACCUGUAAUUGUUUUAAUCACGUUACUUAAGAUUAUUUCUCUUCUAAUCCUGCCCGAAUCUGUUAAAGUUUGUCAUUUGGUAAUGUCUAAAUUAAACUUUCUGUGGUGCAGAUGCAGUGACAGAUCUAAAAUGGACAUUCCCAUUGCCUACGGAUGAACGAGGUCUUAACCCUGCUGUUUGACCUGCGCGAUCAGUACAAGAAAGCAGAACCUGCCUCUUCAGCCGUACACAUUUUGAGGAUGGAGACUAUGGUGGAUUUUGAGGCAGAGGAGCAACGCCUCUGUGAUGCGCAAGCUUUUGAUACCCUGGCUCUUCAGUAAUGCCCUGAUGGCGAGGUUUAAUAUGAAGGGGAAGAGGAAAAGGGGCCAGAAACCUUUGGAGAACACAAAGGUUUAUAGAGCAAUACAAGAUGGAGUCGUGAAAUUUGACCCGGCAGCCACAGAGGGCUUUAUAAGGAUGUGUGCUUCAGAGCAUUUAAAGCAUGCACCACAAAGAUGUGGAGGUCGAGUGGACACACUCAUCUCUCAACUCUCAUCGAUCAUGACUGAUUAACUUUUUAAUUUUUUGUAUUCAAUAU